rnacentral:rRNA from 1 species
GACGAACGCUGGCGGCGUGCUUAACACAUGCAAGUCGAGCGGUAAGGCUCCUUCGGGCGUACACGAGCGGCGAACGGGUGAGUAACACGUGAGUAAUCUGCCCUUCACUUCGGGAUAACCACCGGAAACGGUGGCUAAUACCGAAUACGACCAGUCUUCGCAUGAGGUGCUGGUGGAAAGUCUUUUCGGUGAAGGAUGUGCUCGCGGCCUAUCAGCUUGUUGGUGGGGUAAUGGCCUACCAAGGCUUCGACGGGUAGCCGGCCUGAGAGGGUGACCGGCCACACUGGGACUGAGACACGGCCCAGACUCCUACGGGAGGCAGCAGUGGGGAAUAUUGGACAAUGGGCGAAAGCCUGAUCCAGCAACGCCGCGUGAGGGAUGACGGCCGUCGGGUUGUAAACCUCUUUCAGUACCGACGAAGCGCCCUGUCGGGUGGUGACGGUAGGUACAGAAGAAGGACCGGCCAACUACGUG